rnacentral:rRNA from 1 species
UCUUUUGGCGAGACACCCCGGGAACUGGGGCUAAUCCCUGAUAAGCGAUCAGGCUUGGAACAGUUGAUCACCCAAAAGCCUUCUAACCAUGCUUGUGAAGGCGCCCAAGGACAAAGCCGCGACCGAUCAGGCUGUUGGUAGGGCAACGGCCUACCAAACCCAUAACCGGUACGGGCCGUGAGAGCGGAAGCCCGGAGAUGGAUACUGAGACAAGGAUCCAGGCCCUACGGGGCGCAGCAGUUGCGAAAACUCCACAAUGCACGAAAGUGUGAUGGGGCUACCCCGAGUGCCGUCCGCUGAGGAUGGCUUUUCUCUGCUGUAAGGAGGCAGAGGAAUAAGGAGAGGGCAAGCCUGGUGUCAGCCGCCGCGGUAAUACCAGCUCUCCGAGUGGUAGGGAUGAUUAUUGGGCUUAAAGCGUCCGUAGCCGGCUUGACAAGUCUUCUGUUAAAUCCAGCAACCCAAUUGUUGGACUGCGGGAGAUACUGCCUAGCUAGAGAACGGGAGAAGCCGACGGUACUCUCAGGGUAGGAGUGAAAUCCUAUAAUCCUGGGAGGACCACCAGUGGCGUAGGCUGUCGGCUAGAACGUGUCUGACGGUGAGGGACGAAAGCUUGGGGAGCGAACCGGAUUAGAUACCCGGGUAGUCCAAGCUGUAAACGAUGCGGGCUAGGUGUUGGGGUGGCUACGUGCCACUUCAGUGCCGCAGGGAAGCCGUUAAGCCCGCCGCCUGGGGAGUACGGUCGCAAGGCUGAAACUUAAAGGAAUUGGCGGGGGAGCAC